CCUCGAUGGUGUUGAUCCUCAUGGCCGGCACCUGACCAGGCACUGGAGGUGGUGGUGGCGGUGGAGGAGGCACGGGACAAAGUCCUGAAACGAUUAGCGAUUUACACCUUUCUAUUUUCAAGUGUGCAAAGUAGUCGAGAGCAAGAAGAUUUAUUUCCUGGGCGACACGGUAGCCGCUGCUGUCGUGUGUUUGCCGUCGGUUCAACUGAAUUGCUUUUGGAAUUAUCAAGGAAAGAAUGAGAAACGGUAACCUAAAUAUGUAUCGUCGCGACCGCAACUUAUCUUUCGAUGACUCGACUAUGUUUCAUCGCCUAAUCCUUUUAAGGAAGUCAUCGCGCGUAGGAAGGUUGCUCCGUUUAAUUAGUUUGAGAAACCCGCGACCAUUCUCUUUAAUAAAUCUGUCUGUUAUAAAUCACACAAAUGUCUUAAAAAUUAUUGCAUUUUAAUAUUUUCUUUAAAAUCUUGUUAAAUGUUACUCUGAACACUUUGUGGCUCAAGUUACAGAUAUACAUAUAUAAUGUUAUUAUGCAAUAAACAUAAUUUAUAUGUAUAUAUAUAUAUACAGGGUGGUUGGCAACUGGUGGUACAAGCGGAAAGGGGAUGAUUCUACGCGAAAAAAGAAGUCGAAAAUAUAGAAUAAAAUUUUUUUUUAAUUUUUUUUAAUUUUUUCCAUCGGGACAACGAUCUACAGUAAGAUCCGUUAUAACGUACCGCACGCGUACCGAGCGAAAAUUCAAAGUCGAUUUUCUCGAAAACAAAGCCCCAAACGAAAAAUUUUUAUUCUAUAUUUUCGACUUCUUUUUUCGCCUAGAAUCACCCCCUUUCCGCUUGUACCACCAGUUACCAACCACCCUGUAUAUAUUAUAUAACGUGUAUUGUUUAAGAAAGAUAUAAAUUACAUGUGCAUUCACAAUAAACAUUUCUAUUUGAAAUUGGUUUUGGCAAAAGUACCAUUACGCGACGGUACGACGUAGCCAUACCAUAUUUUGUGUUGGGUUUACAUUUUUAACAUUUGUAAUUUAAUUUAAGCUGCUCAAAAGCGGUAUUUUUAUACAAUAUUAUCUUUUCUUUCUUCUCCUGUCCUGAAAACUAGGUCGCAAAAUAGGACAGAUCAGUAGCCUACUUUUAGUUCCUGCGAGGUUAAGUGACUGCGGGAAGGGUGGGGGAAGGAGGAGUGGAGUGGGUAGGGGAUGUCAUUUAGAUUUAUUUACAAUAUUUACACUUAUUGUACAGGCAGAGAGAUUGGACGCUACUGACGUUUUGCGGUCCUCUCUCUUUUUUUCUUUUUUUUUAUGAUUUCAAUAUCCACCAAUACUUUUUUAUGUUUUUCUGUGUUUGCCUUUUGUGUCAUUCUGCGUUAGAGCCAUAUUGUAUCCCCAUAUUGUAUGAGCCAUAUUGGGUAUAUUGUUUUCAUCUUGGAGGUAAUUUUUUCCAUCUAGGUAUAAGAACGUUUCUGGGGGAAUAUGGCCUGUUUUGAAUGUAUUAUCGUGGUACUAUACUAAUUUAUCUUUCGUUAAAAUUGACAAAUGUAACUUGAAAUAGAAAUAAAAUGGUAUCGAUGCAGGUCGAUAAAUAAGCUUAUAAUUUUCAGAAUACUCUGAUGCUUUAUAAUCAAUUUAUGGUAGGUUUGAACCAGGGCCGGCGCAAGACAGGUUCAGCGCUUUCGCCGGAACCCGGCCACGCGUUUUGAGAGGCUCCGCGGUCUAUGAAAAUUACCCAAUUAAAAAAUACAAAUUUUGAUUAACUUUUUACAGAAUGACGAUACCAUUAACAGAUGCAAGACAUAUUUUUAGUAGCGAUGAUUUAGUUUAAAGAAGUGAAAAAAUCAUGAAAGGUCAGUGUAAUUCCGUAAAUCCUGGAAACUACUUUAGAUAAAAAAAAAUCCAGGCGCUUUCAGAGAAAUGAACUUUUUAGAGAAAUUAAACUACAUCAACACUUUUUUCGCAAAAGUCAUACAAUGAUUACAAAUUUUCUACUUUCAUUGAAUUUUUUGCCUCUUGAAAGCGAAUUAUGCAUGCGAAAAAAUAUUACUUGAAUUUGUUUAAAAAACUGCUUAUAAACAAUAUAUAAUACGUAACAGCAUUUGUAAAUUAAUAAUUCGUCGUUGUAAAAUUUAAAUGUAGGAUUUCAAUGUGUAUUCAGGACCCCCAAAUUUUUAGACCCGGGCCCUCAAAAAGUCACGCCAGCCCUGGUUCAAACUAUCCACGUCUAAAUGCAAUAUUUCACCCUAACACGUUACAUUUUUUGCUGCAGAGAAUCAUAGUCGAUAUACAGGGUGGUUGGUAACUGGUGGUACAAGCGGGAAGGGGGUGAUUCUACGCGAAAAAAGAAGUCGAAAAUAUAGAAUAAAAAUUUUUCGUUCGAGGCUUUCUUUUCGAGAAAAUCGACUUUGAAUUGUCUCUCGGUACGCGUGCACUUUAUCACGUCUCGUUAUAACGGACUUCACUGUAGAUCGUUGUCUCGAUGGAAAAAUAAAAAAAAAAUUUUUAUUCUAUAUUUCGACUUCUUUUUUUCGCGUAGAAUCACCCCCUUUCCGCUUGUAUCACCAGUUACCAACCACCCUGUAUAAUACGUAACAGCAUUUGUAAAUUAAUAAUUCCUCGUUGUAAAAUUUAAAUGUAGAAUUUCAACGUGUAUUCAGGACCCCCAAAUUUUUGGACCCGGGCCCUCAAAAAGUCACGCCAGCCCUGGUUCAAACUAUCCACGUCUAAAUGCAAUAUUUCACUCUAACACGUUACAUUUUUUGCUGCAGAGAAUCAUAGUCGAUAUAUAUUAGGUUGUCCGAACAGUUUCUUUCGUUUCACAAGGUCAUAAUAGACGGACAAGAAUUUCUGUUUUAUAUUAUUUUAUUGAAUUAGGUAUGAUUCAUUUCGUUCUAUUUCUAUUAUUACGUUUGUGCAUAAUUCAAUAAACUAAUACAAAACAAAAAACAUUGUGCAUUUAUUAUUUCCUUAUAAAACGAAAGGAACUUUUCGGACAACCUAAUACAUGUAUAUUCAUAUGAAUGUAAUAUUACAUCUACAUUUAUUUUACCACAAGACAUUCUACUCGAAAAUCAGUAUAACUGGACCUGAAAUAAUCUUUAGAUAAUAGGAGCUAUUAAUGGUUAGUUUUGACGGCGCGCGAAACGUUCGUGGCACGAAAAAUGGCCAGCAGUCAUUUCACUGACGAAAUUACGUGUAGCUUAUGAUGAUCCGCUAUUUAAAGAGUCGUUAUUUUUACAGUACAGUUUCAAGCAGCGAUCGACCAACUAUCUGCUCGAUAUUGAUAGUUCUCUAUUUUUGCUGGUCCCGUUGUCAGUGUACUUGAUCCACUAUAUUGUCCAUUUUCUUUCAACAAGGUGAUUGAACUUUUUAUAAAAAUUCGUUUUAGCAGUUGCGAAAGCUCGUUGAUCAAUAACAAAAGAUCUGUCUAGUCGUUUAUCAAGGAAGAUUUACGAUUUCUAAAAUUCGCGAAAUAAGGUAAAUUUCUUUCCAGAUAAUGUUUGAAUGUAAUUCAAAAUUAUAGCAUCUCAUUGAGAAACUUUACCAUUUCAUAAACUCCGAUUAUUUGGGGUUAGGUUUCCAACUAACCGUCCAAGUAUCAUCGUUCUCUUUCUAUAUUAUGUAUAAAAAACAAAUACUAAUUUUGUGGCACAUUUACAAGCAUCUAAGAACAGUCUAGUCUCAAGAUACAGAAACGUAUUUCGCAAAACAAUGUUCGGCCCAUGGCAAACUCUCGAUGGCGUGCGAAAGUCUCUUUUAAUAAUAGAAUUUUGGAGAUAUGGCUUCGACACGACGUCGCUUUUUUGGCAUGCUAAUCGGUGCCACGUGUCUUCUUGUUCUCGAUUAAAUUACAUAUAUUGCCACUACCAAAACAAUCGAACCGGUAGAAAAUUCAAAAAAAUUGUUCGAUUAACCCAUUCCAACCUAACCCUAAAACGAGAUCGUAAUAUUUGCAAGAAAAACGCUAUCAAAAUCAUCAACCGUGAACCCGCCCUUGACUAAUUUUAACAUUGAAUCAGACAGAUGACGUCAUUGUUAUCAUGACUGGAAUCGUAAUUCACGCGGUCGACUUUCUCGGAAAACGCGUUGAUCGUUUCCACGCUGCAAAAUUUUGCAGGAGAAACGAGACUGGAACGACGAACCAACUGAAAAAAAUAAUAAACACCGAGGGCGCUCGAAUAGUUUGCCUCAGCUUUUAGUCGAUUCUAGGUGGCGUAAAAUCGAUUGUUAUUUCUGCUGUACUUUCUCAAUUAUGCGAAUGUUUAUGCGAAUAAUCAAACAAAUUAAACUAAAUUCGUUUCGUCUAUUAGAUAUCAUAACUUGUACUUUUCCUUAGAUGUUUUAUAUAUUUUUCCACGUUACGUGCAUUCUGCAGACUGUUCCAUUGAAAUGUCCCAUAAAUAUGGUUUAUGGCGCAUGGUUUUCAAUUUUAUACCGAAGUUUCCCUCGAAACAAAUGAAAAUUCUCUUACUUGUUAAACGAAGAUGAGUUUCUCGUAUUUCACUCAUCUAAUCUUUUGUUUAUGAUUCAUCCGUGGAAUUCGUGAUUUACAUAAAUCUUUAGAACCCAAUUGGCACUCAUUUGCGGUUCAGCAGUUGUUGUCGGUCGUUAAGAGUUAACCUACGUUCUACAAAUUUGAUGGUUCUCCGUGACAAAAAACCUCGUUGUAAAUAUAAUAUCAAAGGAUAAAAUGAAAACACGGAAAUGUGUUUUCUGCGAUUAUUCCGAUUAAAGGAUGCAGGUUCUCGCAAAAGACGAACUUUCUCGGAAAAGCUCGGUGAGGGCGAGCGGUGGUGGCGCGGUGUCGCGAUGCUCGGAACCCAGCCAACAACAGGCCGUGGCUUGUACCAAUGUAUUUAGGUAGAUACGCGAGGCGUAGUUAAAUUUAGCGCGGUUCGACCUGCGCGUUACCGCGCCGCACAAAAUGCUUCCGAUUAUUUUAUUUUUAGGGCUUCGACGCGUCGUGGCUCCUCCGCGAGCAAGGCGAGCACACGUCAGGUGUCCGAUACCGAGCCGAUCGGCGAAUUAAUUUGUCAAACGCUGUUUGCCUUGCGCCAGAAACCGAACAAACUAAAAGGUAUCCGAUCCAAGUUUUUCUACUCAAUUAUUCCAGUUUGAUACAAAAUUAUAACUAAAUCGCCUCAACGACGACGAUUAACCAAAAAAAAAAAAAAAAAAAAAACAGAGAAAA